GGAAAGAUGGCUCAGUGGUAGAGUGCUUGUCUAGCAUGCAUGAAGCCCUGGGUUCGAUUCCUCAGUACCA
rnacentral:tRNA from 1 species